GUGAGGAAUAUUGGACAAUGGGCGCAAGCCUGAUCCAGCCAUGCCGCGUGCAGGAAGACGCAUCUAUGGUGUGUAAACUGCUUUUGUACGGGAAGAAACACUCCCUCGUGAGGGAGCUUGACGGUACCGUAAAAAUAAGGAUCGGCUAACUCCGUGCCAGCAGCCGCGGUAAUACGGAGGAUCCAAGCGUUAUCCGGAAUCAUUGGGUUUAAAGGGUCCGUAGGCGGUUUAAUAAGUCAGUGGUGAAAGCCCAUCGCUCAACGAUGGAACGGCCAUUGAUACUGUUAGACUUGAAUUACAAGGAAGUAACUAGAAUAUGUAGUGUAGCGGUGAAAUGCUUAGAUAUUACAUGGAAUACCAAUUGCGAAGGCAGGUUACUACUUGUGGAUUGACGCUGAUGGACGAAAGCGUGGGGAGCGAACAGGAUUAGAUACCCCUGUAGUCC
rnacentral:rRNA from 1 species